UUAAUUUGUUUUAUACAUGAGGAUGGAAAAAAGUAAAGGUGAUAUGGUGAAAAGGAAUAUACUUAAAGUAUAAAAGUAUAAUUGCGCAUAUA